UACAGAGGGUGCGAGCGUUAAUCGGAAUUACUGGGCGUAAAGCGCGCGUAGACGGUUUUGUAAGUCAGAUGUGAAAUCCCUGGGCUCAACCUGGGAACUGCAUUUGAAACUGCAUGGCUAGAGUAUCGAAGAGGGAAGUGGAAUUUACGGUGUAGCGGUGAAAUGCGUAGAUAUCGUAAGGAAGACCAGUGGCGAAGGCGGGUCUCUGGACAGUUCCUGACGCUGAGGCACGAAGGCCAGGGGAGCAAACGGG
rnacentral:rRNA from 1 species